rnacentral:rRNA from 1 species
UACGGGGGGGGCAAGCGUUGUUCGGAAUUACUGGGCGUAAAGGGCUCGUAGGCGGCCAACUAAGUCAGACGUGAAAUCCCUCGGCUUAACCGGGGAACUGCGUCUGAUACUGGAUGGCUUGAGUUCGGGAGAGGGAUGUGGAAUUCCCAGUGUAGAGGUGAAAUUCGUAGAUAUUGGGAAGAACACCGGUGGCGAAGGCGGCUCUCUGGACCGAGACUGACGCUGAGGCGCGAAAGCGUGGGGAGCAAACAGG